UGUACACACAAUGCAGCAAACCAGCGAACUGUUGUUGUCCCCCGAGGGGCCUCAUCCGGAGGUGAGGCCGUCGAUGGUGUGGAUCGGCCGAGAGGCCGGCCCGUGGGUGAGAUGGGAUUCCUCGCUGUCGGCUGGAGUGCCCCGCACUUGCGGUUCUGGUUGUCGGAUGCUAGCUUUCACCCUCAUGGGUGGAGCGAGUUGCUGAUGACUGGGGUCGGGCCCUCCCCUCCCCCUCUGUCCCCGUCUUUGGGGGCUCUGGGGCCAUUUUUUCACAAGCACCUUGAGUAACAUGAACGGAGAGACUGAGCCCUGGGCUUCGUGUUGCCUUUGCGGGCAACGUUAAGCUUGAGUCGAGAACCAAAACAACGACUCUCAGCAACGGAUAUCUUGGCUCUUGCAACGAUGAAGAACGCAGCGAAAUGCGAUACCUAGUGUGAAUUGCAGAAUUCCGCGAAUCAUCGAGUCUUUGAACGCAAGUUGCGCCCGAGGCUUGUCCCGAGGGCAUGUCUGCCUGAGCGUCAUUGCACUUCCACCUGGAAACAUCUCUCCAGUGUGGAACUGGCCGUCCGGGGCCCGACGCAAAAAGCUAUGGGCUGCGGUCGGCUGAAAUGUAGCGACUUGGACGCAGCCGGGGAGAGAGGCCGCGAGAAGGUGAUCCGCUCCUUUUUUGGGCGGAGUCUAAUUGGGCAGCGCCUCUCCUUUUCGGUGGUCCGAUCGGUGACUAGGGGAGGGAGUCUUUUGACUUCUCUCCCCGCGUCGACGGGCGAAGUGUGUGAGUCACUCUGCACUACUCGUCCCUACGGCUUGGACCUCAGAUCAGGCAAGAUUACCCGC
rnacentral:rRNA from 1 species